rnacentral:tRNA from 1 species
GCGCAGGUGGCGAAACUGGUAGACGUACUACCUUGAGGUGGUAGCGGGAGCAAUCCCUUGGAGGUUCAAGUCCUCUCCUGCGCA